CAGCAGCCGCGGGAAUACGGAGGGUGCAAACGUUGCUCGGAAUUAUUGGGCGUAAAGCGCAUGUAGGCGGCCGAAUAAGUCGGGUGUGAAAGCCCAGGGCUUAACCCUGGAAGUGCACUCGAAACUGCUCGGCCUGAAUAUGGAAGAGGGUCGCGGAAUUCCCGGUGUAGAGGUGAAAUUCGUAGAUAUCGGGAGGAAUACCAGUGGCGAAGGCGGCGACCUGGGCCAAUAUUGACGCUGAGAUGCGAAAGCGUGGGGAGCAAACAGGAUUAGAUACCCCAGUAGUCCCUGUCUCUUAUAC
rnacentral:rRNA from 1 species